rnacentral:rRNA from 1 species
GACAGAGGAGCCAAGCGUUGUCCGGAUUGACUGGGCGUAAAGCGCACGCAGGCGGCCCGGCGCGUGGGGUGUGAAAGCUGGCGGCUUAACUGCCAGAUGCCAUCCCAUACGGCUGGGCUCGAGCCCUGCAGAGGUCCAUGGAAUUGGCCGGUGUAGUGGUGAAAUGCGUAGAGAUCGGCAGGAACACCCAGGGGGAAACCGAGUGGACUGG